GGCCUACGGGCGGCUGCAGUGGGGAAUAUUGCACAAUGGGCGAAAGCCUGAUGCAGCAACGCCGCGUGAGUGAAGAAGGCCUUCGGGUUGUAAAGCUCUGUCUUUUGGGACGAUAAUGACGGUACCAAAGGAGGAAGCCACGGCUAACUACGUGCCAGCAGCCGCGGUAAUACGUAGGUGGCAAGCGUUGUCCGGAUUUACUGGGCGUAAAGGAUGCGUAGGUGGAUAUUUAAGUGGGAUGUGAAAUACCCGGGCUUAACUUGGGUGCUGCAUUCCAAACUGGAUAUCUAGAGUGCAGGAGAGGAAAGCGGAAUUCCUAGUGUAGCGGUGAAAUGCGUAGAGAUUAGGAAGAACACCAGUGGCGAAGGCGGCUUUCUGGACUGUAACUGACACUGAGGCAUGAAAGCGUGGGGAGCAAACAGGAUUAGAUACCCGAGUAGUC
rnacentral:rRNA from 1 species